ensembl:lncRNA
UGGUUACUCGACAUUGUGAGUUAAACACCACUAGCUGCACACUUUAAGAUGGUUGUUUGUUUUGGGUUUAUUAUUUUUUUGGUAGCAGAGGUGGUACUAGGGAUCAAACCCAGGGUCAUGUGUGUGCUAGGUGUACCACUGAGCUACUUCCCAAGCCCUGAGUUCCUUUGAGAUAGGUAGAAUCUCACUCUGUAGCCCAGGCCUUGAACUAGAGGUCCUCCAGGCCUCUGCCUCCCUGGUGCUGAUAUGACAGGUGUGGAUCGACACACCUGGCUAAUGAUUACUUUUAUGCCAUGUGGAUUUCAGCCCAAUUAAAAAGCAAACAUGACCUUACAGGAAGAAAGGCAGAUGUGAAAGAGCAUAGCCUGUGCCGUUCAAGAAUCAGCUGUACUACUCUCUAGUGGAGCACAAUCAGAAGGCGGUGAGGAACAAAUAACAAGGACUUCCUGGGGUGGUGGCAGUGUCCUGCGACUUGCUUUGGACAGUGAUUACAAAGCUCUGAAUAACUGUGAAGAUCCGAAGGCCCUAUUGCUAUGUACCUCACUGUGGCGAUCCGAAUGAGAACAGCUGCCACAGCUCAUAUAUUUGAAGGCUUGGUCCCCAGUUAGUGAAACUUUGUGAGAAGGAAUUGAAGAUGUGGCGUUGUUGGAGGAGGUGCUGGGAAUUCCGGUCCUCUACAGGAGCAGUAUGUGUUCUUACUGCUGAAACAUCUCUCCAGCCCCAAGAUAGCAAGUUGUAAACAAACAAACAAAAAAGCGCUGGGUAAUCUCCAUUCCUUUGAUCUCUGCCUAUCCCGUGGCUCAUUUGGCCUGAGGAGCUGAAGCCAUUCAUAGGAAGGAUCCGAGUGUCCUGCGUGUAUUUCUUGCUGGCGAGAACAUACAGCGCGCGGGACAUAUGGUGCCGAAACCCGGGAACAUGUGAACAUCUCCGGCAUUGCGGAGACCCCUCUAACGGGGCGGAUUCAGAACUGCAGGGUGGUAAAUUCGGAGAGGAUGAAGAAAAUCCUCUGUGGAUCCCAGAAAGACUCAACCCGAAGAGCCCCUUCGGACCUUCAAAAGUUGAAACUCCACCCUCUCCCCGGGAGUUGAGAGCCGCUAUUGUUAUCCAGAUUAACUCCUGUCCUUGGCGGAGAGAUUGUAUCGCUAAAGGGGUGGGGGUGGGAUUGUUUGAUGCAGCCGUUUGCGGAUUAGUGUUACUUCUGGCUGGUCUGUAAGCUCUAGGCUCAAAACUAAAGAGAGAUCGCCCAAGCGCUCAUAUUUGGCUAACUAUGCUUAAGCAAUAGGCCGCCGGCCAGACAGCUCUUGCACACCCGGAGCCUAGGCUCAUUGCACAGGGUAGAGUGUCUGGUUUGGGCAGCCCAUGAGGGUGCUGAGCAAAGGCAUCGCACAGAGUUGCCUAGUAUGCAGGCUUCUCUGAGAGGUACGUUGUCCUGCAUAAGGGUUGCCUGCCCGAGCCUCCCUUUCCCAGAAAAAUGGCAGAGGACAGGUCGAGAGUGCUUCGGGUCAAGCUAACAGCCUAGUCGCGACUCUCGUACACAGUCUUAAUGUUUGAUUUGGGAAGGUACAACCUCUGCCUCUAUCCCUCAACAUAUGGGUGACCUAUUUGCUUGUAAAAAUGUAAAGCCUUAUCAUUAAUUAAUAAAAAAAGGGGGAUCUGUAGGGAGCCAUCCCUGCAUUCUCCAUUACAAUAAUGGUGCCUGAAGACACCAAAAUGUAAAUUACUUCACAGGCGCUGGGUAAUCUCCAUUCCUUUGAUCUCUGCCUAUCCCGUGGCUCAUUUGGCCUGAGGAGCUGAAGCCAUUCAUAGGGUAACACGUCCCAGGCGGCUGCUUGCCAGCCUUUAUUAAGGGAUGGGUUUCUUGGUUGAGGGUCUCCGCUCUGGUAAGCUUAUGCUCUCCCAACUCUCAAGAUGCAUUAAAGCUUGUCUGCAGAAGGAUCCGAGUGUCCUGCGUGUAUUUCUU